rnacentral:rRNA from 1 species
UACAGAGGGUGCGAGCGUUGUCCGGAAUCACUGGGCGUAAAGGGCGCGUAGGUGGCCCGACAAGUCUGUGGGGAAAGCUCGACGCUCAACGUCGAGUCGGCCAUAGAUACUGUUGGGCUGGAGCACUGUAGAGGCUCAUGGAAUUCCGGGUGUAGCGGUGGAAUGCGUAGAGAUCCGGAAGAACACCGGUGGCGAAGGCGGUGAGCUGGGCAGUAGCUGACACUGAGGCGCGACAGCGUGGGGAGCAAACAGG